CCGUCUCUACUAAAAAUACAAAAUAUUAGCCGGGAGUGGUGGUGGGCUCCUGUAGUCCCAGCUCCUCAGGAGGCUGAGGCAGGAGAAUGGCAUAAAUCCAGGAGGCGGCUGGGACACACUGUGGUGUCCACUGGAAACUGGUCGCUGUCAGCUGGUUCCACUGCUAUCAGGCAAGAGAAAGAAAAUGAGCCUGGAAUGACCUUAUUUCCAAAAAGAAGGUCCUCUCGGCAGGCCCCGAGACCACCACACACAGACACUGGGACGAAGGUUUUGAAAGACACUCCAACAACCCCAACAACCAGGCUUUGGGUUUUUGUUUUUGAGACAGAGUCUCACUCUUGUUGCCCAGGCUGGAGUGCAGUGACGCGAUCAGUCUUUUUCUGCAUCAAUUGAUAUAAUCAUGUGGUUUUUCUUUUGUAACUUCAUAACAUAACGGAUUACAUUGAUUUUUGAAUUCUGAAUAGCCUUGCAUUCCCUAGAUAAGCUCCACUUGAUUGUAAUUUAAAAUAUAUAUAAAUAUAUAUAGUUGGAUAUAAUUUGCUAAUGUUU
rnacentral:lncRNA from 1 species